CGCCUGUUUAUCAAAAACAUGUCCUUUGGUUUUAUUUAAGGUCUAACCUGCCCAAUGAUUUAUUUAAUGGCCGCGGUAUUUUAACUGUGCUAAGGUAGCAUAAUCAUUUGUCUUUUAAUUGAAGGCUGGUAUGAAUGGUUGGACGAGGCAUAAUCUUUCUUUAAUUUAAUUUAUGAAUUUAAUUUUUUAGUUAAAAAGCUAAAAUUUAUUUGUUGGACGAGAAGACCCUAUAGAUCUUGAUAUUUAAUUAUUCUGGUAAUUUGGUUAAUUUAUUAUUUAGAUUAAUAUAAGUAUUUGGUUGGGGUGACUUUAGAAUUUUAAUAACUUCUGUUUUUUAUUUUCAUUUAUUUAUGUAUUAUUGAUCCGUUAUUAAUGAUUAUAAGAUUAAGUUACCUUAGGGAUAACAGCGUAAUUCUUUUGGAGAGUUCAUAUCGAUGAAAGGGUUUGCGACCUCGAUGUUGGAUUAAAAUAAGUAGUAGAUGCAGUAGUUUACUAACUAGGUCUGUUCGACCUUUUAUUUUUUACAUGAUCUGAGUUCAAACCGGAG
rnacentral:rRNA from 1 species